GAGGAUGUUCAGACAAAAUACUCCCAUUAGAGGACCAAAGCGAAGGGGGCAAACAAGACUUGCAACUUUCAGAGUUGGUCUCUUCCUCCAUCCUGCUAUGGAAACAUUCCACCCACAUAAAGACUGCUGUAUGGAAUGUCCAGUGCAUAGAGAGAACUUCGCAGUGGGAGAGCCAGACAGACAUCUACCCUGUAACCACUUUCAUUCAGAAUGUAUUGUACCAUGGCUGGAAAUGCAUGUCCAGUGUGCAGGAAGAGUUUAAACGGAGAAGACGGCAGCAGCCAGACCCCAUCAGAAUAUCUGCCCUCUCCAUGGAUGCCGCAAACAGGAGAGAUUGUCCUUCUGAGACACCAGUCAUCCCUCGGUUCUUCACGCCUACAUCAAACACGCCGAGAAGACAAAGCGCUUGUCACGUUCUCUUUGCUAUCUGUUGCAGUCAUAAUCAUCUCAGUCUGAUAUUCCUUUGUAUUUCUUUGUAUUUGUUUAAUUUAUUUAAUGCCUUUCUGCACCAUGUAAACUGUUACCAAUACAGGCGUCCUAACAGUCGGUUGAGUUCAAGCCCAUGUCUUCA